ensembl:lncRNA
AUUUAAUGAUUUUUUGAUCAUAACAGCUCUUCAAUGUAUAUGUUAAAAUAUAAUUAUUAUGAUUAUUAACAAUAAUAGUUUCACCCUCAAGAGAGCAGUGCAGCAGAAACCUUUUGCCUUAUGUGAUUUUGUGUGAAUUUACAAUUUUGUCCGCUUGCCUAACAGUUUACAUUGCAUUAUUACAUUUGUAUUCAUACACUGUCAUGUCAUUUGACCAAUUAAUUAAAUAAUAAUACAGACUGCAAAUUAAACUUAAUACACAGCUGUGUUAACUCGCGCAAACUAUUGCUAUUGUUAUUGGUUGUUUCGCCGUUUUACUUUGAGCAUGAUUGGUUAAUCUGUCUGUUUUACAGGAAACUGUCCAAUGAGAAUGUGCGCGGCUCUGCGCGCCUAUUUUAAAUUUGAAAAUAUGUCCGUUACUCUCGGUCGGAGCAGCUGCUUUGCGUUGAUUACUCGGUUAGACCUGGAUUAUUUUAUAUCUGCCUGUUGAAUUCUUACAUUUUGAGCGAAUAUUAGUUGAUAUGACAAUGAAGAUCAAAAGCUGGAAUGUGAACAGAGGAGGGGGUCGUACGUGGUCUGUAAAUACUGGCGAUAUCAGGUAAGAAAACAUUUUUCAGUCCUUAACAGUCUAACAUUAACGUUUAGGGACACGGGUAACUUAACUGUCAUCUUAACGUUACUGCAACCUCGUAAGAUAAAUAAGUUAUCUCUGUGUGUGUUUUUGUACUGCUUCACUAUUAGCGUAGCGAUAUUAGCACGUAUUUCAUGUGUUAGUACCAUCUGACAUUGCUGUGUUUUGUUGUUGGUAAGUUAACGUUAUGUGUUUAUGUUGUCAGCUAACGUUAGUUUAAAACUCAAACGCAUGAGAGGUAAAAAAAGCGUGGGAAUGUGUAAAGUGAUAAAACCGUCAUUUAUUCUUUAGAAGUAUGUUUACAUAACCUCUUCAAACACUGAUAACGAUAUUGAAAAGAUAUUUGUUUAUUCUUUUUUUUUUUAGAUCAAGCUUUGUAAUACGAUUUUUAUCGGGGGAGAACACCCAACAGAAAGACCCAUGAUUCACCAACUGGCGCACUGAAAGGGGAGAUUCAUGUCACCUUCAUCAGUCCUUUCUUUAAUCACUGGACACCAUUAAGGGAAAGACCCUCAGACGUGUCAUAAUAGGAUAAAUGCGGCUGCAGGUAAAAUUAUUUGAUGGGGUUAGGG